rnacentral:rRNA from 1 species
GAUGAACGCUAGCUACAGGCUUAACACAUGCAAGUCGAGGGGAAACGACAUCGAAAGCUUGCUUUUGGUGGGCGUCGACCGGCGCACGGGUGAGUAACGCGUAUCCAACCUGCCCACCACUUGGGGAUAACCUUGCGAAAGUAAGACUAAUACCCGAUGAUAUCCCUAGAAGACAUCUGAAAGGGAUUAAAGAUUUAUCGGUGAUGGAUGGGGAUGCGUCUGAUUAGCUUGUUGGCGGGGUAACGGCCCACCAAGGCGACGAUCAGUAGGGGUUCUGAGAGGAAGGUCCCCCACAUUGGAACUGAGACACGGUCCAAACUCCUACGGGAGGCAGCAGUGAGGAAUAUUGGUCAAUGGGCGAGAGCCUGAACCAGCCAAGUAGCGUGCAGGAUGACGGCCCUAUGGGUUGUAAACUGCUUUUAUAAGGGAAUAAAGUGAGUCUCGUGAGACUUUUUGCAUGUACCUUAUGAAUAAGGACCGGCUAAUUCCGUG